rnacentral:rRNA from 1 species
GACGUAGGGGGCGAGCGUUGUCCGGAUUUAUUGGGCGUAAAGCGUGCGUAGGCGGCUGCGCAAGUCGGUUGUGAAACCCCGGGGCUCAACCCCGGAACUGCAUCCGAUACUGCGUGGCUAGAGGUAGGUAAGGGAGAUCGGAAUUCCUGGUGUAGCGGUGAAAUGCGCAGAUAUCAGGAGGAACACCGGUGGCGAAGGCGGAUCUCUGGGCCUGUUCUGACGCUGAGGCGCGAAAGCUAGGGGAGCGAACAGG